AUCCAACUGAUGAGCCUCAAAUAGGACGAAACUCACGUCUUGGAU
rnacentral:hammerhead_ribozyme from 1 species